CCUACGGGGGGCAGCAGUGGGGAAUAUUGCACAAUGGGCGCAAGCCUGAUGCAGCGACGCCGCGUGGGGGAUGACGGCCUUCGGGUUGUAAACUCCUUUCGCUAGGGACGAAGCGCAAGUGACGGUACCUGGAGAAGAAGCACCGGCUAACUACGUGCCAGCAGCCGCGGUAAUACGUAGGGUGCGAGCGUUGUCCGGAAUUACUGGGCGUAAAGAGCUCGUAGGUGGUUUGUCGCGUCGUUUGUGUAAGCCCGCAGCUUAACUGCGGGACUGCAGGCGAUACGGGCAUAACUUGAGUGCUGUAGGGGAGACUGGAAUUCCUGGUGUAGCGGUGGAAUGCGCAGAUAUCAGGAGGAACACCGAUGGCGAAGGCAGGUCUCUGGGCAGUAACUGACGCUGAGGAGCGAAAGCAUGGGUAGCGAACAGGAUUAGAUACCCGAGUAGUC
rnacentral:rRNA from 1 species